UAGUGUUGCGCCCGCUUCUGCCACUUCACCUGUUGUUGCCUUGGAGCCUCAGGCUGUGGACUGUGCAUCUGGCGCACAGGCAGACACAGCCGAGUGGGCUCAGCCUCCUCUGCUGGAUGCUCAACCUGGGCCCAAUCGGCAGACCUUGCGCCGGACUGGUCGCUCUACUGCUGGUCGACAUCCCAAUGUGCACCAUCUUCCCCGGUCUGUAGGGCAGGCAGAUCGUGUACCAGAUGGCCCUCAGCCAUCUGCGUCCAACGCACAGACAGCUGUGUUCAGACCCUGGUGUUAGCCCCUUUCCCUUGGUCAGUCGUCGGGACGACGACACAAACUCCGGGGGUAGAUGUGGCAUGGUGGGGAGUUGCACUCCCCUCCACUUGAGGCAGUGUGGCUUCUAAUUACUGGGCGUCUAUAAAUAUCCCUGCUCCGCCCUUCCUCUUCCUCUUCCUCUUCCUCCUUCAUGGGACUGACAGACAUGUGGCUGCUGUCCUGACAGCGUGUCUGUGCAGGAUAGUGUUUGGCCUCCCACAAAGCUGUGAAUUGACUGGGAGCUGGACUGCCCUGGAGUCUGUGUGGGAGCGGUGUGUUUCCUGCAGCCGCCGCCACUGCUGUAUCGGGCUGUGUAUGCUCUCCUUCAUGCUGCCAGUGGUGCAGUCAUCAGCUGCAGUUGACCCCAGGCUUCACUGCUGUUUUGGCUCUCCUUCUUUGGAUGUGCUUGACACCUGCUCGUCGCACCACGGCCUCCUCAGUACACCCUGCUGCCCUAGUGGCCUGUUGGACCACCCAGGCUCCUUGAGAAGUGUGGCUCUCCUGCAUCGAGCCUAGGAGCUUGGGCAUGCGCCGUGCUCAGGCAUUUUUAGAAAUGCAGACGCACUCUUCCUUCUGAUUUUCUUCUUUUUUCCCCUCUUUCUGUUCGAUUGCAUUUAAUAGUGAUUACGUUGCUCUAUUGUUUUCUGUUCUAUCUCUUUGGUUCUUGUUAUUUUGUAAUGAUUUCUGUUUUUUUCAUUUCGUAUAAAUUACUUUGUUCCUCUUUUCGUUUGAAUAUUUAGGUAUUGGGUUUUUGGUUUCGGGGUAUGAGGGCUGCCAUCAUUUUGUGAGUUUAAUUGUUGAUUUUCUUUUCUUUUGACAGGUGCUGGGGGCCCCAGAGCGGCAGCGGUUCCCUGGUGGUGGUUCCGUUUUCACUUUUUGGUUUGCUGUGUCACGGGUGCUGUGUGUUUUUGGAUC